rnacentral:rRNA from 1 species
GGAUUCCCCUAGUAACUGCGAGUGAAGCGGGAAAAGCUCAAAUUUAAAAUCUGUCAGUCUUUGGCUGUCCGAGUUGUAAUCUAGAGAAGUGUUAUCCGCGCUGGACCGUGUACAAGUCUCCUGGAAUGGAGCGUCAUAGAGGGUGAGAAUCCCGUCUUUGACACGGACUGCCAGGGCUUUGUGAUGCGCUCUCAAAGAGUCGAGUUGUUUGGGAAUGCAGCUCAAAAUGGGUGGUAAAUUCCAUCUAAAGCUAAAUAUUGGCGAGAGACCGAUAGCGAACAAGUACCGUGAGGGAAAGAUGAAAAGAACUUUGGAAAGAGAGUUAAACAGUACGUGAAAUUGCUGAAAGGGAAACGCUUGAAGUCAGUCGCGUUGUCCAGGGAUCAACCUUGCUUUUGCUUGGUGUACUUCCUGGUUAACGGGUCAGCAUCAAUUUUGACUAUUGGAAAAAGAUCUAGGGAAUGUAGCAUCUUCGGAUGUGUUAUAGCCUUUGGUUGCAUACAAUGGUUGGGAUUGAGGAGCUCAGCACGCCGCAAGGCCGGGUUUUUUUUUAAAACCACGUACGUGCUUAGGAUGCUGGCAUAAUGGCUUUAAUCGACCCGUCUUGAAACACGGACCAAGGAGUCUAACAUGCCUGCGAGUGUUUGGGUGGAAAACCCGAGCGCGUAAUGAAAGUGAAAGUUGAGAUCCCUGUCGUGGGGAGCAUCGACGCCCGGACCAGACCUCUUGUGACGGUUCCGCGGUAGAGCAUGUAUGUUGGGACCCGAAAGAUGGUGAACUAUGCCUGAAUAGGGUGAAGCCAGAGGAAACUCUGGUGGAGGCUCGUAGCGAUUCUGACGUGCAAAUCGAUCGUCAAAUUUGGGUAUAGGGGCGAAAGACUAAU